ensembl:lincRNA
GCGGCUUCUGCUGGCUCCGGGAGCUCCUUGGCCUGUGGCUGCGUCUCUCUGUCUCUGACUUCACACGGCCCUCUCCACUCCUCUGAGAAUCUUCCCUCCUGCCUCUGAGAUGCUUGUCCCUGGAUUUAGUUUAGGGAGAGGGAAAACCAGCUGCAGCUGAGAAACCACGGCCAUGAGACAUGGGACCCUGAACCCCGCCUGGAAGCCACCCCAAGGGAAGGACCACCGCCAAGAAUGAAGUAGAAAGGUCCCAUUUGGAACAAUCCCGUUGGGGGUCAAGGGGAAGCCCGGGCUACCCCCAAAAGGCCUCACCGAUGGCCCCCUGAGAACUGACAGGUGGAGCCACCAAUCAGAAGAGUAGACUGCUGGGGCCCCUCCCCAGCAUUAUAAAGAGGGAGGGGGACAGGCUUUAAAAGGCCUGACCUGGGCCCCCACGAACGGGUCUCACCCCGCAGCCGGCGUGGUUGCUUUUCUCCUUUUCUUGUUUCCUAGUAAAACAAGAAACUCACCUGCCCUGUGGAGUGUCCUCAAGUUCCUUAGGAGACAAGCCGGGAACCUAGACGCCCAGGACCCGGAGCCCUGGGCCAGCAUCAGGGGCCACCUGGGAAAUCCAGCGCCACCUCACCCUGCAAGCUUUCACUUAAUUACCCCUGCAAAUCAGGCCACAUCCAGGGACGCCGUGGACGUAGCUUUUCAACCCAGCUCCUUCGUGGACGGCGAGGAAGGGGCGGCGGGGGAGCACGGGGUCCACUGUCUUCCACGCGCCCAGAACGCGGUCCUCCUACUGGGCCCACGGGAGCUGGGCCCUGCUGGUCUGGGUGCUGGAGCCGACAGGUGCGCCAGCCUGGAAGUUUCCAUCCCCAGGAAGGAAGAAGCCAGCAGGGCAAAGCACGAGCCCGAGGCUGAUCCCAAGGUCCAAGCUCCCCCUCCCCGACUCCCCACUGCUGGAAAAGAGAAGCUGAGUGAAGACGGCGCCGAGAAGGAAGCCAUCGUCCUCGCCUGGGGCCCGCACGCCCCCCUGGGCAGCGUCCCACCUCCCACGAAAUACCUACGAACAUAGAGUGAACGUAAAGUCCCUCUCUGGGAGCUGCGCAGGGCAGUGCCCCACGGCCAGCCCCCCACGUGGCAGCGGCCAGGCCCCGAGCAGGUGAUGGACUAGCGCAUCUCGGGAAGGCUCCAGUAGGUCUGGCGGUGGGUGGUUCUCAUGGCGUUGGCUGUGUGGUUACUAGCCCCCCGCCUCCCUCCCUUCCCCAGAGGCAACCCCGCGAAUCCCUGUGUGUUUUUCCAAUCCUUUUUCAAUGCAACCGCGUGUGCAAAUCUCUACACGCACACGCACGCGCGCACAGUUGAGUCUCGUCGUUUGCGGCUGUUACAUACGUUCUGUACAGCCACCUCCAACGCUGGGUUGGUGAACGCCGAACCCGGCAGCCUGGCUCUUCUGCUUGCACCCGGAAAGGAGUCCGUGUGGUGUUGCUUUGACACCAAGCGUGCGUCCGUGUCCCCUCCACCACUGACCUGAUGACUUUAACACAUGCUAGCCUGGGCUCGACUCAGCGGUGCAGAAGGACAAUUUCCUAAGUUUAUUAUUCCUACCCCAGCUACCAGCUGGUGUGGCAGGCAGCUUCUGGGGUGAGCCCCACUGGUCCCCACCUCCUGGUGUGAAACCCCCACCCACCAUGGACUCCCUUUCCCUUGAGCGUGGGCUGGUCCUAGUGAUUGUUUUUUUUAACUGAGAAAAAAUUCCCGUAAUCUACAAUUCACCAUUUUAAAGUGAACAAUUCAGGGGUAUUUAGUAUGAUAACAGUGUUGUGCAACCAUUCCCUCUAGAUAGUUACAAAACAUUUUCAUGGCCACAAAACAAAACUCUGCAUCCAUUUAAGAGUCUUUCCCCCUUUUUCUCUCCUCCCAGCCCAGGCAACCACUGAUCACCUUCCUGUCUCUAUGGAUUUACCUCUUCUGGAUAUUUCAUAUAAAUAGGAUUGCACAAUAUGUGACUCUUUGGAUCUGGCUUCUUUCCCUUAGCAUAUGGAUCUAGUAAUUUGCUUCUAACAAAGACAAUAGGGCAAACGAUGACAUGUCUGAGACUAAGUCCUCUCUGGUGCUAUCACUUGCCCCUGUGAUGGAAGUCAGCUGCCAUACUGUGAACUUUCCUAAGGAAAGCAAGUCUAUCGCUGUCCACCUUUAUAUUAUGCAAUGCCAGUUCUUAAAUGAAUUCACAUGCAGAACCACCCAAAAUUACACAACGUGUUUGUCAUAGAUCUGCACGCAUAGGUGCUGUAUUUCAUCCUCACCGGGUCAGUGGCUGCACAAACUAGUUCAGCUGUUUUUAUUUCACUUCUUGAUAUGCAAACAUUCUACCAACACUCUACGGAGGUCAGCGGCUUCCUUAACAUGCUCACCUUGUACUCUUACCUUGUACUUGACUCUUGCCAAACUCCCAUACAAUGUGGACCCACCAGCAUUCUGGGCUUAGGGGGCACUUUGGAAGCUUUAUGGGACUAGUCUGGCAAGAAACGAUGGCUGGCACGCGUAUGACACACAGCUCCUCCUCCGCUCAGGUGCAGUCUCCGCUGUCCCACUGGCCUUCCCUUACAAAACGUAAGUUCAAGGUCCUGAUAUAAAGAAUUUCUAGACAGCAACAGGAGAGCAGUAACAAGCCUGGAUCAUCUGCCGCUAAAGCUGGCCCUGCCUCUGACCAACAGGGAAUUGAAUUCUGCCACCAACCCCGUGAGCUUGGAAGUGAUCCUCCUCGGCGUGAGCUUUGGCGAUGUCCGCAGCCUCGGCCAGCACCUUGACAUUAGCCUUGUGAGUGACCCCGAGCCUGAGGACCCGGAUUCCCGACCCACAGACACAGACACUAAGUAAAUGUGGUUGUAAGCAGCUAAGUUUGGGGGUAAUUUGUUCGGCAGCCAUAAAUAACUAAUAUUUCUGGCAUUUUUCUGUAAAGCAGAGCUUUCCUUCCUCAACGAGGGCUUUGGUUACCUUAAAACACACU